UUCCGGUUGAUCCUGCCGGAGGUCACUGCUAUUGGGGUUCGGCUAAGCCAUGCGAGCGGAGGGCGCGGUCGCAAGAUCGUGGCCCCGCACACGGCUCAGUAACACGUAGUCAACCUACCCUUGGGACGGGGACAACGCCGGGAAACUGGCGAUAAUCCCCGAUAGGUGAGGGAUGCUGGGAUGCUUCUUCGCUCAAAGCUCCGGCGCCCGAGGAUGGGACUGCGGCCUAUCAGGCUGUUGGUGGUGUGACGGACCACCAAACCUACGACGGGUACGGGCGAUGGGAGUCGGAGCCUGGAGAUGGGGACUGAGACAAGGCCCCAGGCCCUACGGGGCGCAGCAGGCGCGAAAACUCCGCAAUGCGCGCAAGCGUGACGGGGGAACCCCAAGUGCCGUUGGUCUUUUGAUCGACGGCUUUUCGGAAGUCCAAUAAGCUUCCGGAAUAAGGGCUGGGCAAGACUGGUGCCAGCCGCCGCGGUAACACCAGCAGCCCAAGUGGUGGCCGCGAUUAUUGGGCCUAAAGCGCUCGUAGCCGGAUCAGCAAGUCCUUUGUGAAAUCGGACCGCCCAACGGUUCGGCGUGCAAAGGAUACUGUUGGUCUUGAGACCGGGAGAGGUCGGAGGUACUCUUGGGGUAGCGGUGAAAUGCUGUAAUCCUGGGGGGACCACCAGUGGCGAAGGCGUCCGACCAGAACGGAUCUGACGGUGAGGGGCGAAGGCUAGGGGAGCGAACGGGAUUAGAUACCCCGGUAGUCCUAGCUGUAAAGCAUGCGGGCCAGGUGUCUAGCGCUCCUUGAGGGCGCUAUGUGCCGGAGGGAAGCCGUUAAGCCCGCCGCCUGGGAAGUACGGCCGCAAGGCUGAAACUUAAAGAAAUUGGCGGGGGAGCACCACAAGGGGUGGAACCUGCGGUUCAAUUGGAUUCAACGCCGGG
rnacentral:rRNA from 1 species